rnacentral:rRNA from 1 species
AUUGAACGCUGGCGGCAGGCCUAACACAUGCAAGUCGAGCGGCAGCGGGAAAGUAGCUUGCUACUUUUGCCGGCGAGCGGCGGACGGGUGAGUAAUGCCUGGGGAUCUGCCCAGUCGAGGGGGAUAACUACUGGAAACGGUAGCUAAUACCGCAUUCGCCCUACGGGGGAAAGCAGGGGACCUUCGGGCCUGGCGCGGUUGGAGGGACCCAGGUGGGAUUAGCUAGUUGGUGAGGUAAUGGCUCACCAAGGCGACGAUCCCUAGCUGGUCUGAGAGGAUGAUCAGCCACACUGGAACUGAGACACGGUCCAGACUCCUACGGGAGGCAGCAGUGGGGAAUAUUGCACAAUGGGGGAAACCCUGAUGCAGCCAUGCCGCGUGUGUGAAGAAGGCCUUCGGGUUGUAAAGCACUUUCAGCGAGGAGGAAAGGUUGGUAGCUAAUAACUGCCAGCUGUGACGUUUCUCGCAGAAGAAGCACCGGCUAACUCCGUGCCAGCCGCCGCCGUAAGAC